rnacentral:rRNA from 1 species
UACGUAGGGCGCAAGCGUUAUCCGGAAUUAUUGGGCGUAAAGAGCUCGUAGGCGGUUUGUCGCGUCUGCCGUGAAAGUCCGGGGCUCAACUCCGGAUCUGCGGUGGGUACGGGCAGACUAGAGUGUGGUAGGGGAGACUGGAAUUCCUGGUGUAGCGGUGAAAUGCGCAGAUAUCAGGAGGAACACCGAUGGCGAAGGCAGGUCUCUGGGCCACUACUGACGCUGGAGAAGCGGAAAAGCAUGGGGAGCGAACAGG